CGCCUCCCACCUGGGAGGCUGCACCUCCAGCUCCCACCACCGCCGCCGGGACUGCAGCACACCCUCCUCCCUCGGGGCUGCGCCCGGUAAUCGCAAACCGAGUCUCUGCUGCCCCCUGCCGGCCCGAGGGUCCCCUGCUGCUGUAGGUGUGCUCACGUGUGUACACGUAGAUAUUCCAGAAGGAACACAGCCCAAGGACAGAACGUUUUCUUCUCAUUAUUAUGUCCUCACCCAACACCUAGCGUGCGGUCUGGUUCCUGGGAACUUUCCACCAUGCCUCCCAUCACAACUCCAGCGCUUUGUGUCAUCAGAAAACCUUGGGGAGAGUUCCUUAUGCACUCCUUCCUCCAGAGUAAUGUAGUUUUACAUGUUAAUUAAACAGCCCCUUGCUGUCUCUAAGGAACUCCUUUCAGAAAUGUGCCAUUUACCCGAACCUUUGUUUCCUGGCUCAUUUCCUAGACUCAAUAAAA